ensembl:lncRNA
CCGAGUGACUAAAGCGCCCGCAGGUGCCUGUGCCUGUGUAUCCCGACAAUAAACCAAAUCCUCUUGCUGAUUGCAUCCUGUGGUGUCUCGGUCUGGUCUUUUAAGUUGGAGGGUCUCCAUCCCGAGGGAAAGUUCUCCCUGAGAGCUUUUCAUUUGGUGCAUUGGCCGGGAAAGGAGAUCCUCCACCCAGGGACCACCGACCACCCACUGGGAGGUAAGCCGGCCGGCGUCUGUCUGUCUGUCUGAUUUUGUCUCGUUCUGCCUUAUUCUGUCUGUUCUGUGAGCGCUCAGCCAGGUCUGUUCUGUGAGCGCUCAGCCAGGUUCUGUGAGCGCUCAGCCAGGUUGUUUGGAAUUUGGGCGGGACGAAGAAGGAGCUGACGAGCUCGGACUUCUCGCCCCGCAGCCCUGGAAGACGUUCCAAGGGUGUUAGGGGCCCGACUUUUCGGGGCCCAAUCUGGGAGAGGAGAAAGAUCCGGACUAACGGCACUCUGUCUGUAUUUUUGGCUUUCAGAGGGCCCUGGACCUUUGCCACCUCCAUCUGACUUUUUGCUUUCAGUUUGGUACCAAAGCCGUGCAGCACGCCUGUCUGUUGUUUGUUUGACUGUUGGUGUUGUUUGUUUUCUCUGUGUUCUAAUCUUCCUUAGAACUAACAUGGGACAGUCCCUAACAACGCCCCUAAGUCUCACUCUUGAUCAUUAGAAAGACGUCCACGACCGGGCACACAACCAGUCCGUCGAGGUUAAAAAAAAAAAAAAAAGGAAAAUGGCAGACUCUCUGCACAUCCGAGUGGCCCACUUUCGGAGCGGGAUGGCCAGUGAAUGACACAUUUAAUAAGAUCAUUAUUUUACAGGUUAAAGAUUGGGUCGUCCACGGACAUCCUGACCAGGUUUCUUAUAUUAUCACUUGAGAGAGUCUCGCCUUAACCCCCCCCCCCCCCGGGCAGAACCCUUCGUGGACCCGAAUUGGCCUCCCCUCAACCCCCAGCCUGUCCCCUCGGCCCCGCCCGGUCCGCCGGCCACGUCUUCCUCUCUCUACCUUUGUGAAAUCAGAGCCUUCUAAGAAACCUGUCCUCCCGGCAGACCCAAACUCCCCUCUCAUAGAUCUUCUCUCUGACAGGCCCGGCUGAAACGGAGGAGGCAGAGCCGCCGGCCAGAUCAGUUGCCGGGCCACAGUCUGAUAAGGGUUUCUCCCCUGUCGCAGGGAGAUUGCGCAAUAAGCUCGAGG